CACCACCAUCACCAGGAUGCCAGACGUGAAAGAGAGGGCGGCCCGGAAGGAGCCCGGCGCGGCAGAGAGCGCCUCCCGUGAAUCCCGCGGGGGAAACACCCGGGAGAGCGCGAGCAGCGCCCAGGGGCACCGAUCGUGUAGGUUCAACCGUCGCCCGAGCACGGCCGCCCUCACCCCAGGGUCCGCGCAGGGGCGCGGGGUAAAGACGGCGCCACGAGGUCCCGUGGGCCACGGAGGACUGCGGACUGGCCCGACCUCCCGGUGUCCCCAGCCCUCCGCCCGAGCGAAGCUCCCCUCGGUCACGCGUGGGGCACCGCUUCCGCCAUCCCCGGGAAAGGGCCACCUCGGCGGGACCCCGAGCUCGCACAGGCUAGGUAUGACGGAGAGAGUCCAUGACGCUUCCAAGCUUGAUUGUCAGUUGGAAGAAAGGAGUUUAUCUUCAAGCAGAGAAAGAAAGAACGAACGAACGAACGAACGAACGAAAGAAAGAAAGAAA
rnacentral:lncRNA from 1 species